CAAUCAAACACAACAUGCAAACACACCACUGAAUUCGAACUCAAAAAGUAUAUAGAAACAUACCCCUUCACUCAAACACCAACACUACACCUUACAUGCACACACAUAUUCUAUACAACAACAUUCUCACAUUCAAAUGCACAAACACUGCUCACAAAUACAGCCCUGCAAGAAUGGCCAAAUGGUAGAUCCCCAGCUAGCAUAGCAUCAUGGGUAUUGUACGUAGCAUGAUGAUG